UGCUUCCUUCUUAAUGAGAGGGUGACGCAGGUCGGCUAAAGUGUGCGUUUGGUUUUUAUUUGCUCCAGCGUUUGCUCAUACACUGCUUGUUUGGUUGCGGGUACAUUGAGAUCAAAAGAAGGUUGCUUCGAAGAACUAGCACCACUUCGAUCGUCUCCGGCGGGAGCCAAAAGAAGGUUGCUUCGAAGAACUAGCACCACUUCGAUCGUCUCCGGCGGAAGCCUAUCCCACCUAAAUUAAAUCCAUGGCAGAAAAAAGAAAAUCGAGCAAGUCGGUAAGAAAUGGAGCAAAGAAAGCGGCUUCAAAAGAAACCUAUUAGAUAGAGUAAAAAAGGAUACGAGUAACCAAAAGUACGGUGAUACUGAUAAUCACUCGUUUCAAAAGAGAGAAAAAAUGCUGAAAAAGGUUCGAUUCAUCUUGUGUGAUGGAAAUUCGUAUUCUUCGUAGCUGGUUC
rnacentral:lncRNA from 1 species